ACAAGCUUCAACUCAAAGCGCACAGUGUGGCUUUCAUGGUUGGAGGGAGAAGUUCGGGGGUUUCUGAAAUUGGAGAUGCGGGGAAGGACUAGUGUGGAGCUGAGAGAAUGCUUCCCUCCCUCCUACUCACUUGACACUUGGGAGCUGUCUAGUUCAGAAGAUUGGUCUGAGCUUUUGGAUUAGACAUGGAAGAAAGACUUAAGCAUUCAGGUGCUUAGCAGAACGCCUCAGCUUCUGCUGACAGCAUUAGCAUGACCUGGUCAACCCGUACAACCAGAGUAGCAUCCGAUGUGACUGGAAGAGAUUGUGUGGUCUGCCCACUGUGAAGUGCUAACUCGGCGGAUAACACUCCCUGAACAAUGAGGGUAACCUGAUGGUUGACAACCGCCCACAUGGCACUCACUGGUUCUCAGCGUAGCCCACAGAAAUGGCCGCUGGCUGCGUGCCAGCGUCGGGAGGACGAGACUGUCGAGAGCUUCCUCGCUGCAAAACCUUGUCAACGGCAGAGCCUUGUUCCUCAGUCUGAAGGAUUUUUCUUUUCCUGUCGCUUUGUUUUCCCUCCCCACCUGGGAACAGGACUCAGAAUGGGUUACUAAUCAUAUCAUGGGAACUGUGAUUCUGAACAACACGAGCCCACAUUCGGGAGGCAUCACUCACUGAGCUGUACCAGUUAAUACGUGCAGAAGGGUGAGGCUGACGGCAUCCGGGAGCGACAUGGCUCCUUGUAGUUCCUGCUUGCUUGGAAAAAAAAAAAAAUAAUGCUAAGGCCUCUUGCCUAUUUUUGGCAACUGUUAUCUUAAAUUAAUCGAAGUGCCGAUUUUUCUUGUUUAAGAAUCAAUGACCACCAAAGUUCAGGCAGCAGCAUUUCAAAACCCAAAGACUCUACUUUAACAACCUCUCCGGUAGCCUCGGAUACUCAGGCUAAGGAAUAUUCUUUAUUGGGAAUUUCGAUUGGAUUGCUGAUUAGAGCAAUAAAUGGAGGAAGCUUGCAGGGCUCACAGCAUUUCCUUGACUGCAUAAAAACACUUUACCUUUUACUCUACAGGAAUAAUGUUUUAAAAAUUGAUCCUCUCUGGCUUUAGGACCUAUUCUAGCCGCUAAAGUCUCACUGUCUGUCUUAGACACAUAAUGAAAAUACAUGUCUGAAGAGUAGGGAACAUUUUAAUGACUCUCUGUGUUACUGCGCUUGUACUGGACGGGGGGAGAAUCAGCUCAUUAACUUAAGAUUUCUUUACAAUGAUGGAGUUUGGAUUCACACACUUGUCAUGUUUGGUUUAGACUAGGGGCUGUGAUAGCUCAGAAGACUGCAUCAUCUCCCAGCGUUGUCAGGGGGACUCCAAGUGGCUCUGGAACUGUGCUGAUAUAUAGAAAAGAAGGAUUGAUUGACACCCCUCUGUUACCACAGACGCAGGGUUUCCUGUGUCUGUAAUUCUUUACCUGGCUUGUGCAGUAACUAUUUGCAAUAUAGUUUGGAAUAUUUGCUAUUCCUCUUGCCCCAGGCAUACUGUCUAUUUCCUUGUUAGUACAACAGAUGGAUCAGUUUUCACUAAGCACUAGGUCUAGGUGUAUUCUCAGAGCUUAUCAUUUGUGGUUUCAGACACCACAAAACCCCCACA